GGCCUCAUGGCAGAGUGGUCAUGCAGCGGACUGCAAAUCCGCGUACGCCGGUUCGAUUCCGACUGAGGCCUCCA
rnacentral:tRNA from 7 species